AAUCAACAAAAAAUCUGUUUACGAUAAAGCGGAUAAAGUAUAUACUUGCAUGUGUAUAUAAUUGAUAAGAAUCCUGUUUUUUUUUGUGUAGAACGAUUUAUCCUGCGCUAUACAGCACAACCGAGGUUUGAAAUCACAAUUACCACCACGUAACCCCACAUGAAAGGUCGAUACAGAAGGCCGAUUUUUUAAUUUCGGCCACUCGAUUUCGUGUAUUUAGUUAAAUAAUAUCUCCAAUACUAGAGACUUAAAUUCUACUAAUAGAAUUGAAAUCGAGUGGUUAAUAGCACUAGAUUCCAAAAUUCGAUCGCUCGUAUUUCAAAAAUUAGCAUUUCGCCGUUUUCUACUUUCGAGCGACGAAAUCGAGCGAUCGAAAUUCAAAUAUCGGCUCCCAGGUGAGAAAACUCAGAUUUUCUAAAUCGUUAUUGAAAAUACCUACUUAAAUUAAAUAUCGCUCAAAACAGAAGAAAAUAUUUAUUAAAAAAUUAUAACAUACAUGGGGGAUAUGAGUGUAAGUUUGUGUUCAAAGUUUUAGAUUAUGGACUGCCUUACAUCAGCGAUUCAACGAAGCUCUUUUAAUAUGUUCUUAAUACAUACAGGGGCCGAUUGCAUAACAAACUACAAUUAAUAUUACAAGCGGAACUCCUUUUCUAAAUUCACUAAUUAAAUAAGGAGUUCCGCUAGUAAUAUUAGUUGUAGUUUAUUAUGCAAUCGGCCCCAGGUCUAUUACUUUAGGACUGACAUAUUUAUAAAUCGUCGGGUGACAAGCAAAAGUCACUAAGUAGUAAGUACUAUCCACGUACUAUCAAAAAAUUAAAGUAACAAUGCACUUUAUUACACUGGUAACACGGUUUAUUGUCCAAUAAUUUCAAUGGUGUUAGUGACUUUUGCUUGUCAACCGACGAAAUAUAAGUACUUACUUGGCUAGCACGAUGACCCAAAAUGAGUCUUGGCCUCCAACACAAGAGCACGCCACUUUGCUCGGUCCAUAGCGGUAUCACGCGUAUAAAGAUUUCCCCGCUUCAACCGAACGUUUAAUCUUUAAUUUAAAACAGGGCCAUCAAAACUAUAAUGCUCCUAAAAGAGGAAUGGAUUAAGUACCUAUAAUAAAUAUACAGCAGGUGUAGUAGUAGUAGUAGUAGUAAUCACUUUAUUGUACACAACACAGGUUUACAAAAAUAAAUUACAGUAAUGGAAGUACAAAGGCGAACUUAUCCCUAUAAGGGAUCUCUUCCAGCUAACCUUCGAUUAGAUGAGAGGAAAACUCCAGUCAGGGCCCAUAGACAAACUUACGGGAUGUACAGUAAUAUUUCAGGUGUCAUUUUACAGGUGUAUUCAAGAUAAAAAGCUUAGUGAUUUAUUUACUGGACUCUCUUAUCGCUCUUCCAUCGUUUUCGUUAGAGUGACUGAGAUAUAGAAAGUUUAUGUAUAUGUCGGCCGAUCGUAAGAUCAGGCAGAUCGUAAUGUUUUGACGAUAGUUAAACCAAUAUAUAGGUAGGAUAGGUUCGUUAGGUUGCUUCAGAUGCCCGAAAGGCAAACUGCCCAGAAAUAGGACUCCGUCGACUCAGGGAACGAAUCAAAGAUUUUCACGUUUUACGAUAUGCCUAGGAAUUUCACGAUAUGCCUGAUCAUACGAUCGGCCGCCGACAUAUAUAAGUAGAAACAACCAAUACAGUAUGCACGCCACAUACACGCUGUUAACUGUGCACUGUAAUCUAAAUGUUGUUAGCGGUUUUAUGCACAUGCACGUUUUGAGUACAGGAAAUUACAAAAAUAAUGAAAGGGCACUUCCAUCGUUCCCACACAAGUCGAAAGUGAUAAAAUGGGCAAUGAGUUGAAUGAGUUGUAUAGCUUUGUUAGGCGUCUGUAACCUUGUUGAAUUCGAAUUAAAUUUUAUUUUACCGUA